UCUGGUGUCCCCGGCCUGGGGCUGGCAAGCUGGGUUAGGAGCUAUGACCUUGGGGCAAAUAGGGAUACGAUCCUAGAGGCGCAGGGGAGCGCGCAGCAUGAGUGCUGAGAGGCACGCGCCCUCUGCUGCACGGCCGUGGAAUAAAACGAGACAACGGCCCCACAGUCCCCUGCCCGCAGCCCACGCUCGGGCGAGCCUGGAGGAUUGCAUUUCCUCGUAGGCUGGCAGAGCCUUACAUGAAGCGCUCAUCUUCUCCUACUUUCCUCCUCUUUAAAAAAUUAACGUGGGAAACAUUUUCCUGGGCAUCUAAAAGUAUUGUGGACCUGAGACACUGUGCUUACAGGGCCUACUGGUUUUCACUGUAUGAGACCGAGAAUGGAUUAUGGCAGUUCCUCUUACCUCCGCUGCAUACUUGACUCCAUCCACGGUGUGCUCAGAGCCAUGAUCAUCCGAAGAGCCCCAGUGAAGAUGAAACUGGCGAAGUCGGUAGGGUCCAGGGAGAGGACCCCCUCUCAGCACUGUGAUUCAGAUAAGCUUGGUCAACAGUGAAUUCAUGCUUCUUUUACAGAGCUCUACUUUAACCAAGUGCUCUUAGAGCCAAGGCUUAAUGGACAAAAUGUGGUCAGUUUGCUGGGUGGAUGGUGCCACUCCCAGGACACUGGACUCCUCACAAAAUGAAGUCUGGGGAUAUGUCAAGAUAAAUGAUUGUUCUUUUCUGUCUUUCUUAUUUUGUUUGCUUGUUUCAUUAUUAUUGAAACAUCAUUUUAACAUUUAGGAAAGCAAAAUUAAAACAACAGAUAGACAAUGAGGAUGCAUACACCCAAAGAACAAGUCAGUAGUGUGGUGCAGUGGGAAGAACUGGACAGUUGAGAACCAGGUGGAGGUAGGUUUCCAAUGCUGGCUUCACCCCUUGCUAGUUCUGUGGUCUCAGGCAAGUUGCUAAACUUCUCUGAACCCACUUUCACAUCUCUAAGAAGGUGAUAAUAAUACCAAACUUUCAGAGCUGCUGUGAAGAUUAACUGAGAUUAAGCACCUUAAAGUGCUCAUCAUAGUGCCUGCAUGAUGAUCACUGAGCAGAUGUGAAUUCCUUCUCCACGUGUUGCUUCCAACUACACUUUUCUUCAAGACAACGAGCAAAAACUUUCAUCUACGUCUAAUUUAGACUGUGUCUAUUCAAAUGAGAUGAAAUGGAAAAUUCAGAAAUUUCCCAGAAAACCAAUCAAUGUGGAUGAUUAAACUAGAUAAUUCUCAGCAGCAUUAAUUUGGGCUUGUUGAUAAACAUCUCAACCCAUUGCAGAGUGAUUUAGAGGUUCAAAUGUCUUCCAAAGUAUAUUGGAAACUAUGCAGAAACCCUAAGAUCAAGAUUUGGCAAUAUAAGCUAGAUCAAAAUAGAAUUCAGAGCAUAGCUAUUUUAGAAGAGGUUGCCCACACUAAGUGGCCCAGGGAAAGCCAUAAAUAUAGACCUCAAACAAUGAGGCUAGGCCUAUAUGAGUUUGUUCAGGUAGAAAUGGAGUGGUUCAAUUCAUUGCAUUUUUCCUGUCCAACCACUCAGAACAGUUAUUAUAGGGACAUGUGAGUCCAAUUUAUUAGAAGAAACUAUAUGAAAUUGACAAUAUUCAACUAUUUUUGCACACAAAAAUGGCAUUUUCAUAUGGUUCAACCUAAUAGAUAUGUUUAAUUUUGUUAUGUUGCUUUCAAAAUGGUACUUGAUAUAUAAGGAGAAGGGGAAAAAAGGAAACAAUAGCAAUACGAAACCACUGUUUAAGAAAAUUUAAAUUUCUGUAACUUGGAACCUCCUGGUAGGUAGGAAUUAUGAAUAUCAUUCUUCAUUACAAAAUCAUUAAGAAUGUUCAUUUAUGUAUAUCAAUAAAUAUAACUUUAUUAGAGAUGGGGCUAUAAGGAAUUAUUUUGCUGUAUAUCAAGCACCAAAAUAUUAAAGGAAGAUUCUUUCUUACCUCAUUUAUCGUGAAAUAAAGUAUUUCUGACUAGUCUUCU
rnacentral:lncRNA from 1 species